GGGCCGCUAGCUCAGUGGUAGAGCCGCCGACUUUUAAUCGGAGGUGUCCAGAGUUCGAUUCUCUGGCGGCCCA
rnacentral:tRNA from 1 species